GAAGGGUGCAAGCGUUACUCGGAAUUACUGGGCGUAAAGGGUGCGUAGGUGGUUGUUUAAGUCUGCUGUGAAAGCCCCGGGCUCAACCUGGGAAUGGCAGUGGAUACUGGACAGCUAGAGUGCGGUAGAGGGUAGUGGAAUUCCCGGUGUAGCAGUGAAAUGCGUAGAGAUCGGGAGGAACACCAGUGGCGAAGGCGGCUACCUGGACCAGCACUGACACUGAAGCACGAAAGCGUGGGGAGCAAACAGGAUUAGAUACCCUGGUAGUCCACGCCCUAAACGAUGCGAACUGGACGUUGGGUGCAACUUGGCACUCAGUGUCGAAGCUAACGCGUUAAGUUCGCCGCCUGGGGAGUACGGUCGCAAGACUG
rnacentral:rRNA from 1 species